CCUACGGGAGGCAGCAGUGGGGAAUAUUGCACAAUGGGGGAAACCCUGAUGCAGCGACGCCGCGUGAAGGACGAAGUAUUUCGGUACGUAAACUUCUAUCAGCAGGGAAGAAAUGACGGUACCUGACCAAGAAGCCCCGGCUAACUACGUGCCAGCGGCCGGGGUAAUACGUAGGUGGCAAGCGUUAUCCGGAUUUACUGGGUGUAAAGGGAGCGUAGACGGCCAUGUAAGUCUGAUGUGAAAACCCGGGGCUAAACCCGGGGACUGCAUUGGAAACUGUGCGGCUGGAGUGUCGAAGAGGCAAGUGGAAUGCCUAGUGUAGCGGUGAAAUGCGUAGAUAUUAGGAGGAACACCAGUUGCGAAGGCGUCUCGCUGGACGACGAUUGACGUUGAGGCUCGAAAGCGUGGGGAGCAAACAGGAUUAGAUACCCCAGUAGUC
rnacentral:rRNA from 1 species